CUGAAUGAAACUUGAUAAUGCUAUUUAAAUGGAAUUGUUUUCAUUGCUGAGGAUUAAGCCUUGAACCUUGUGCAAGUCAGAUUUUCACUGGAAAUCAAGGCCACUGCUUUGGUUUGGAUGUGAUUUGUCCAGCAAAGAUUUGUAUCCUGGAAGUCCUCUGUGUGAUGGUGUGUAGGUGUGGAGCUCUUGAGACAUGGGACCUAGCGCAAGCAGUGGCUCAUCAACUGCUGGGCAUACGAUGGGGACAGAGGAUUUGUUCCUUCCCUGCUUACUAGGUGAGCUGGUCUACCUUACACCUUCGUCUCGCUGUGCCCUGCCAGCUUGCUGCCCAUGGUCCUCAGUGCAGCCCGCAGCCCUUGGAACGGCCCCACCCCAUCCCUGCAG